GUGCGAGUGAUUGUAACUUAGGAUUUGCCUUUAUAAUAAAUAUAAAUAGCAUAUCUUAAUAUAACAAUAAUGCAAAUCAGAAGCCACAAUCUAUGGACACAGGCUGGACACGGAAGCUGAUGCAUCAUGUCAUCAGUUACGAUGUCGUGAUCGUUGACUUAAUUUAUUUAUGCAAAUUGCCAUUGGUUAUCAUUCCGAGAUGAACAUUUAAAUAUCGUCUUUUUUAUUAAAUAAUAGAUUGUUUUUAUCCGGAUCAAAUUGCAUUGACAAAUUCAGAAAACAAAAUAAUACAAUAAAACUGCAUUGAUUUACAUAGAAUAAAUUGUUUGUGUUAAGAGAGUUGGUGUAGCUUACGUUUAGAAAGAGUCGCUGUUUUGACCACUGCAUUUAUUUCCGCUGAUUAUGAUUUAUGAAGCUGCAUUGCAUGAGUAUUUUGUUAGAAAGAGUCGCAAGUAGAAUAAUAUACAAAUGAGAAAGAUAGCAUGUGUAAUGAUGCAAUCAAUAGGUCAUGUACAGAACAGCAUUCAUUUGCAUCAUUGUUACAUAGGUUCCCCGUAAGCAAACUAAUUCGCACACAUAUUCAAUUUCUCUUUCAAGAAUAUGUCAUAAUAUGUUCGUUAAUUACUAUAAAUAUUUGCGAAUUGCAACCUUUUUUUUUUUCAAUGGAAAUUAUUAUAGAUCUCAAAUAUUACGAGUAAAAUGGGAUAGAAAAUCUUCUAUGCAUCCGAAAGAAUCAAAAUAAUACAACUAAAAAUUAGUUUUGAGUGUUCACUGCGGUUACAAAUAUACCAAUCUGAAAAUUAUGUUUUAGCACCAUGCAUAAUUAAUCCUACUUAACCAUCCAUGGAGAUAAAACCAAUCUCGCUAGUAAACCAUAAGCCAAAAAAUAAGGGCACUGUCUGACUAAAAUCAACAUCAUCCAAAUAAAUCCCCAUACGAAUAGCUAAAACCAUUGCAAAACAAUUAAAUUUUUUUUUAAAAAAAAGUGGAAAAUAAAACAAGAUAACUCAUAAAAAAAAAAAAGGAACACAAAACGAAAAAAUCACAAAGACACACUUACAGAAAUUUUCAUUAGAGAGCAUACAUAAAUACCACUGCCCCAGGAGUCCAGGACCAUCGGAACCUCCAAACCUUACCAUCAAAGUUAAUAUAACUGUCCCCAAUAUGAGUGUAUUCUCCCCACUUGAGUACCAGAGCCGUCACAUCAAAAGGAUCAUCAUAGAUAAAAUGCUUACGAGUUGAACAAAAACUAAAAUAGAAAACAAAAAAUAUAAGAAAUUAAAGGAUGCUGGCAGGAGAGGGGAACUCCCUUCCCGAUAACAAAACGGUGGCUAAUUUUGAGUGUUGUAGUGGCAAGAAGAUGCAAAGGAUCAUGAAGACUAUUGGAGGUUGGCUUUCCGUUGAAGAAUUGAAGUGGUUAAAAUUUUAGAAAGAGGACUAAGGAGAUAUGUUAAACCAUGCAAAGGUAGUGGGUCAUGUUUAAGCAGUUUCAUAUGGUACUCUUAUCGUAUCGUGUUAAAUUAUACAUAUAUGAAUACAUUUUGUUAACUUAUUGGAUUGAAAAAGAGAAACUGAACUCAUUCUUUAUUAUUAUCGUGUUACUCAAAUCAAGCCAUUUAAUUCAUUAUUUUUGGUAUUAUAUUUUUUAUUUAAAACAAAAAUAACAAUUUGUAAAAUAAAGCUCUUUAAGAAUAUAAAAUCAAACAAAAGAAAAUAUUAAUAUUUUUCGUAUUUUACAUUAUCAAAUACUAUCUAAAAAUGAAAUAUUUAGUUCUAGGCACCAAUAUCAUUGAUUAAAAUCUUAAGAAAAAAAUUAUAAAAAGAGAAUCGAGUUACAUAAUAAGGCACAAAUGUACAGUAAUGGCUACAGAUUUUAUAACAAAUACUCAUAAAUUUUAGCUUUUGUCUUAACUAUACAUAAGUAGUCAAUUUAUUUUUUCUUUAAAAAUUUAUAAUUUAAGUUAUAAAAUUUAUGAAAUUAUUAAUCUUAAAUGUUAAUGGUAAUGGGUGAAUUGUUUUUAACCUUAAGCUGAAAUACAAUCCCUUAUAGAAUAGGUUUUAAUGGAUUGACUGAUUGAGUGGUUGAUCUAUUAACAACCCAACCCAAUAAAGAUGGACCCAACAACUAUAUUUAUCGUGUGAAUUGGUGUUAGUGGAUCCUAUGAACUUUUGCUUAAACGUCUUACUCGUAACCAUUAAUUUUAAUCACAAAUUAUAUAUUCUAAGUUAUAUGUAUGUAGAAAACAAUAAUCAUGAGAUAAUCAAAUCUUAAUAACAAUUUAGGAGUGGCCAAAAUUACACAUAACUAAAUUGGACCAUCUAAUGUUUGGUAAAGCUGUAGUUUUUAAAAUAUAUUGUUGUUAGUUGUACUAUAUAAAUAAUCAGCCGUGAAAAGAAUUAGUUAAACGUUUAAUUAAAUUUAU
rnacentral:lncRNA from 1 species